CACACGCUCAGAAAGACCUCAGUGUGGGAGACGUCAGCUGAGCCCCAAGGAAGGGCUGCCAAGAAAGGGGUUUGGGUCAGAAAUGUCUGAAAAUACACGAACACCUACAGGAAACUUACCCAGGAGAACGGGAUGAGCUGAUUUCAUUCAUUCAGCUCCUGACUCCACGAAUAUUUAUUUCUGCGUCUGACUUUGUUUUCGGUGCGGAAUGUCUAAAGAUGACUCAUAGGUGAUCCUGGGCUCAAGGAACGCCUGAGGUGCUGGGAGCCCAGAUAGGCCGGUGAUACGUGAAGACGCAGUGCUGAAUGCUGUCAAGGGGAUAUACGUAACCUGCAGGCCAAGAGACAUGAGAACGAACACCUGGUCUUCCCGGAGGCACAGGAGUGCUCCCCUGGAGCGGGAGCAUUUUAAAUGACACUAGUCACAGCUCUUUCUUUUGCACGGGGCUUAAGCCCCACUCACCUUGGCUUAAACAAAAGAGGAUUUCAUUGGCCCAAGUAAACAUGCAUCAGAGGUGGAGAUUCAGGUACAGGUCUCCCAGAAGCUGGAAGGAUUUCUACACCCACACAGGCACAACCAGACUGACCACAAGUCAACUAAAUGGGUACGGCGUCUACCAAGGAAAUGACCACAGAGGAGCUGUGUUGAUGGAAGGGAUUGCCGAGCUGGGGAAAAUCAACACAGCUUGAACAGCCAAUCAGUUCUCUCGUGACGGGGGGUUUACUGUGGUGGAAAGGACACCUGACACGGAGCCGACACUGCUGGCUUUCCACUAUGGGGAACGAGUGGUCAUGCCACUCUUUCAACUCUGAGACUAUUCUGAAACUCUUCUUCCUCACCUGCAAAAUGGCCAUCAGCCCACCCAUGCGGAGGUGGGGAGGCCUCCGUGAGGACAAGGAUGGGAAAGUACCGAGCGCACCAUCUGCUCAGAGUAGGUGCUCAAGAAACACUGGUUAUAUAUACUGGCUGAAUCCAAAUGUGACCCCUGAGGCUUGUUAGCUAACGAGGGAGCAUGUGUUGAAGUGGCUGUUAAUGUGUAGAGACAACAAGCAGUCAAAACUAUUUUUCAAUUUUGUUGACCGGCCACAUUUGCAGCAGGGCCUCCGAAAACCAAACUUUGCACUCGUCUUAUCAGCCCGUUGGUCGGGCCACUUGCGUAUGUUGUUGGCUUGCAUCCACUUUCUCUGAAAUGCCACAAAGGAACCAGAUUGCGGAAGCCACUUGGGGAUUUUCCACUUCUCAAUGGGCUGCUCUGGAGCCCUUCAGACCCUUGAGAUCCGGAAGAAGGAAACUGCCACUGAGAAGGGGACUCAAGGGGCCACAAGUUGAGUGGGGGGCCCUCAGGACCCGGAGCAGGACGACCUGAGACAGCAGCCUCUCUCUUCUGCCAAGUGGCUGUUUGGCCUUGAAAAGUCACUCUCUUCUCUCUCUGGGUUCCCCGAAAGGGGAGAGGGGAUGGGCUAGAAAUCGAAUACCCUCCUCGAUGACUAAUCAGAAGAAGAAAUAUCUCUGAGCUCAGAGGAGCCUACUAUGGUCUUCAACCUGUUGCGUUUACCAUCCUAUCUAAUCUUUGUGACCAUCCUGCAGAUUUCGGGGAGCCUCUCCAUCUUACAGAUGAAGAAACAGGAGGGGAGAUUAAGUAGCGAGCCCACGUCACAGCAAAUGAAAUGGCAGAGACGACUUGGGUGCUAGUCAGACAGGAUUCAACAUCCCAACAGAUGAACACCCACUCCUCGGUUCUUCCACUAGGAUGGUCUCUGAGGGUCAACUCUGAUGUUUCUCCACAAAGCUUGAAUCACGGACCCUGCAACACGGAAUGCAAUUUAUUCCGCCUUCCAGAGACGAAAAGCAUCAAAGCAAGCUUCCGGGAAUUUAAUUUCAGCGUUUGCAUCCAAGUCACCAGGGGCUCAGGAGGCCAGGCGGGACACACUGCCCCGCGCUCGCUCUCGCCUUCUCUCUCUGUCAGAGGUGAAGUGUUCCAUCUAUGUUCCUUGGAAGUCCUGAAGCACCGUGGAGGUUGCACUGGGUCUCCAGGUAAGGAAACGAAGACUCCAGGAGCCUAUUUUCCAAAGGCCGCAUUACCAACAAAGGACAGACCGAGAUUUGGACUCUCAUGUCCUGAUCCCCGCCUCAGGCUCUUUCUGCCAGAACCACAGACAAAUCCACAAAGUGACCCUCCGUGAAUCUUAGAGGUCAUUUAAAGGUAGCGGUGUCUGCCUCGCUACUCAAAGUGUGGUCCGUGGACCAGCAGCAUCUGUACUCCCUCAGGGCCUGGUAGCUGUGCAGAAUCUCAGGCCCCAGGCUGGACCCGAGGAAUCAGAAUCUGCAUUUUAAUGAGGCCCCUGGGUGAUCUGUAUGCACACAACAGUUUGGGAAACAUUUGCCUAUGGGGUAUCAUUUCAGACUUUCAAGAAUUUUUACCAUUAGAAAUGAAGAUAACAACAACAGUCAGCAUCGUUAAACUCAGCAUCCUGAUCCAACCACAGACCGGUCCAAACUUUUCAAAAUAUCAUCUGAGCAGAAAAGCUUAUAAACUGCUUUGCUUAUCAGCCAACAGCUGACCUCAGAACCUUUGGCAAGACAAAAUGUUCUGCCCUCCCAAUGAGAUCAGUAUCGCAUUUCUGGUGGUGUAUUUAUCUAGUUUUCAUUGCUGACAUGUAUUACGUAACACCACCCCUCUUUCUUCUGCCAUCACUGGCUUAUUUGAACAUCUGACUUACCUUGACCCUAGAGCACAGUGCAGCUUAUGCAACAAUCUGAACGUUUCUCCUCAGAAGUCCCCUGUGUCCCCAUGGUGGCCUCGGCUCCUGUCCUCAUGCCGCAGACAAGAUAGCUGUGUCCCACCUCUGAUUCUCUAGGCGACUUUAGGAUCCAGCCCUGGCUGCGUGCUUACUGCCUCCCAUUCUUCGAGGAUUUUCUGGGCUUGACUAAGAGUCUUUCAGAUCUUCUUUCCCAACUGUGCUGGGCUUCGAGACUGCUCAGAGAACAGAGGCACCUGGCUCAGAACGUGUGUAGAUAAUACCAAGCAGAAUCUUCCUCCUCUCUCCGUGAUGGGGAAUGAGGGGGCCAGCAGGCAGAUCAGGACCAAGGAUGGGACCCGAGGGGUCGGCUGGGGAAGGAAGAGGUCCAGAGAGAACAGUGCUGAAAACCCAGGGUUCUAGGGUCCAACAGAACUGAGACUUGAUCCAGCUCGGCUUCUUAUUUGCUGGGUGACAUUGGGUAGAUUACUCACCUACUUUGAGCCUCUUGGUCUCAUCUAUAACAGGGAGAGGAUGAUGCCGACCUCUGGGACUAAGUUGGCUAACAUUAGUAAAAUUCUGGAUGCUAGGCUUGUCAUAUACAGACAUUCAAUAAGAGGGAGCUUGUUUUUUGAUUGUAGAGUAAGUCAUUGAGGGAGACAGCCCACAAAUGUCAUGAAACUUCCAAUUCUUAAAACACACACACAUGCUAACAUGUUUUCCUGCAUAAAAUUCAAUAAAGAAUAAC
ensembl:lncRNA